AAAGUGGCACGUAGCACCGGCCGCUCUGAACAGAAGAGAAAGCAAGUAACUGCCCAUCUUCUGCUGACUUCUAGCAAGCCGUCCCAGGUGCCCGGCUUUCUCGGAGCACAGUUCAAGCUCCACAAACUUCCAGAGCGCACUUCCUCGUCGCUGGAAGAAUGCAGGAAAAAGGCAGCAGGUGCACGCAGGCUUGAAACAACAAAAGGAGGAGCCACUUAACCGACCCUCCUGCGUGGAUCAAUUCGCGUCGCUGCCUCAAGCCAGUAUCAUCAAAGAAACGUUGUGAAUACUACAAGAAAGAAAAACUGAGACCUUCGACUUCAAAGUCUACUGUCAAUCACAUGCAUCAGCAUGCAUCUGAUAGACUUACCGUGGAUGUUGGCACACCUUUUGGCUGUCCCCUAAACAUGAGGUCACUUCUGUAGGAAAAAGGAUCUCUGGUUCAGGAAAACAAUCUAGAUGAAGCUGAGCAGCCUUCUUAAGCAGCUGCUUAGGGAGAAUACCAUGCCUAUAGUAAUAAGUGGUUGUAUCUAAGCAAAUUCCAGGUUUAUUAACAAUGCAGAAGGGAAAAAAAUAAAAGUCUGACCUACUAUAAA